GACGAACGCUGGCGGCGUGCUUAACACAUGCAAGUCGAGCGAUGAAGCUCCUUCGGGAGUGGAUUAGCGGCGGACGGGUGAGUAACACGUGGGUAACCUGCCUCAUAGAGGGGAAUAGCCUUCCGAAAGGAAGAUUAAUACCGCAUAAGAUUGUAGUACCGCAUGGUACAGCAAUUAAAGGAGUAAUCCGCUAUGAGAUGGACCCGCGUCGCAUUAGCUAGUUGGUGAGGUAACGGCCCACCAAGGCGACGAUGCGUAGCCGACCUGAGAGGGUGAUCGGCCACAUUGGGACUGAGACACGGCCCAGACUCCUACGGGAGGCAGCAGUGGGGAAUAUUGCACAAUGGGGGAAACCCUGAUGCAGCAGCGCCGCGUGAGUGAUGACGGUCUUCGGAUUGUAAAACUCUGUCUUCAGGGACGAUAAUGACGGUACCUGAGGAGGAAGCCACGGCUAACUACGUGCCAGCAGCCGCGGUAA
rnacentral:rRNA from 1 species